rnacentral:tRNA from 1 species
UGGCGCAUUCGUCUAGCGGUUCAGGACAUCGCCCUCUCAAGGCGGAGAUCACGGGUUCGAAUCCCGUAUGCGCUACCCA